UUCCUGGUGGCUCAGACGGUAAAGCAUCUGCCUACAAUGUGGGAGAGCCAGGUUCGAUGCCUGGGUCGGGAAG
rfam:Ovis aries breed Texel chromosome 3, whole genome shotgun sequence.